rnacentral:rRNA from 1 species
CGGGGUGAGUAACACGUGGGCGACCUGCCUUCGAGUGGGGAAUAACGCUGGGAAACCAGCGCUAAUACCGCAUACGCUCGCUGGUUUAUUCCAGCGAGGAAAGCUUAAUGUGCUCGAAGAGGGGCCUGCGGCGGAUUAGCUAGUCGGUGGGGUAACGGCCUACCGAGGCGACGAUCCGUAGCUGGUCUGAGAGGAUGAUCAGCCACAUUGGGACUGAGAAACGGCCCAG